rnacentral:miRNA from 1 species
AUUUCUCAACCUCGUUCCCAGGCUCUUUGCUCUUUGCAAUUCCAAAGAGCAAAGAGCCUGGGAACGAGGUUGACAAUUACU